GACGAACGCUGGCGGCGUGGAUUAGGCAUGCAAGUCGGACGAGAAAAUUGCUUUCGGGCGAUGAGUACAGUGGCGGACGGGUGAGUAACGCGUAGAUCAUCUACCUUUAAGUUGGGGACAACUCAGGGAAACCUGAGCUAAUACCGAAUGUGGCUGCAAAGCUAAAGGGGGCUUAGGCUCCCGCUUAGAGAUGAGUCUGCGUCCAAUUAGCUAGAUGGUGAGGUAAUGGCUCACCAUGGCGAUGAUUGGUAGGCGGCUUUAACGAGUGGUCGCCCACACUGGGAUUGAGAUACGGCCCAGACUCCUACGGGAGGCAGCAGUCGAGAAUAGUCUACAAUGGGGGAAACCCUGAUAGUGCGACGCCGCGUGAACGAUGAAGCUUUUCGGAGUGUAAAGUUCUUUUCUGUAUGAGCAAUGCUUUAUUGUUUAAGAGAUAAUAGAGAGAGAUAUUAGUACAGGAAUAAGCCACGGCUAACUCCGUGCCAGCAG
rnacentral:rRNA from 1 species